UGGCCCCCAGCCCACCCCGCGCCCUCGGCAGCGGCCCCCGCCAGAGUGCCCGGUACUUGCCUGCAGGCGAGCGCCGCCACGGUUCGUUCUCCACAACGGAACAGAUUGGAACUCCACUGAAUAUCAGGAGAGAAAAAAAAAAGCAAUUAGGCAAUACCUACUCCCUGCCAAAGGAGAACCCAGUUACUGAACAUCGGAUGAGAACAUGGAUAGCAAAUUGGGAGUGAAGGUUCAUACCUGGGUCUCAGAAGCACAGUACAGGAAUGCAGACAUCAGUACUACUCAAAGUGUGGUCCCAUAUUGAUCCCAUAUUGAUCAACUGUCAUUGGCUGAUGGAGAGGUUUUUAGAACAAGCCACCUUAUACAAGUUAAAAUUCAUGAAGCAAUGGACACAGGUUAAGGUAAUGGCCCCAAAGAAAUAUCAUUUUACAAAGCAAAGUGUCUUUCACACAGGACCUUAAAAUAAAGAGAACAUUUCUAAAAUUAAGAGUAUUUGAAUUUAUCUUGCUAAUUCUUACAACAGGUUUAUGAAUUAAGACUUUUACACAUUCUUAAAGCUGUCUCUUUCACCAUGACUUUGGCCAAGAGACUAAACAGAAAUUGGGAACGCUAAAAUAUCAGUUUAAGAUUUUUAACAAAUAAGUGGUAAAUAAUUCUUUUUCAUGCCUAAUUGAGUAACUUUUAGAUAUGAUCUAAGCCCAUACAGGUUGAGUAUCCCUUAUCCAAAAUGUUUGGGACCAGAAUUGUUUGGAAUUUCAGAUUUUGGAAUAUCUACGUACACAUAAUGAGAUAUCUUUGUGAUGGAACCCAGGUCUAGACAUGAAAUUCAUUUAUGUUUCAUAUACGCCUUAUACAUGUAGCCUUAAGGCAACUGUAUAUGAUAUGUUCAAUGAUGUGUCAUGAAAUCAGAUGUACAAUAUUCCACUUGUGGCAUCAGGUUGGAGCUAAAAAAAAAAAGCUUUGGAUUUUGAAGCAUUUUGGAUUUUGCUGUAUUUGAACUAGAAAUAGAGAGCAGUCCUCAUCACCUAAGCAAUAGCUGUUCACUGGGUUUGAAUUUUUUACGCUUUCUCUAUUUCUCCAAAAUAAAUCCAAAUUUAGCUUUUGUAACUAUUUUUGUGAGAUGACUUACCAUUAAUCUUCAAUAUUUCACCUAAAGUUACAGCACAAGUUACUGUUACAGCAGCUUGAGUAACACUAAGUAAUGGUAUAAAGGCUAUCAUGUGGUAUUAUUUCUCUACUAAUGUAGGCAUCAUUUUGCUUCCAGUUAUACCAGCCUGAGUAUGACAGCAACAUUCCUUUAGGGAUUAAAGAAAAUGCUUCAGAAGAUUGGAACACUGCUCAGCCUUCCCAAACUUCUUUUACCACUGAUGUUUCUACCUUAGUGAUCUUCCUCCCAUUUUGAUGCUUCUUUCUCUUUACACUUAAAAGUUCAUAAAAUCUUUCAACAUUAUUUUUCACUAUAAAAGUUUGAAGUUCUCUGUGAAAUGCCUACUAUGUAAGAAUUAAGAUAGAUUUUAAAGAUUGUUAGUCUCGAAACUCCAUGCUCAUCAGUUAGUGCAUGAUAUUAAAUUAUGCUUUUUUCCUCCUUUUAAAUAUACCAACAUUAUAUUGCUGA